GACGAACGCUGGCGGCGUGCUUAACGCAUGCAAGUCGAACGAUGAAGAAGAGAAACGCGAACUUCGGUCCAAAUUUCACUUCGGAUUAGUGGCAGACGGGUGAGUAACGCGUGAGCAACCUACCUCUUACAAAGGGAUAGCCUCGGGAAACCGUGAUUAAUACCAUAUGACACAUUCAUAAGGCAUCUUAAGAAUGUUAAAGCUACGGCGGUAAGAGAUGGGCUCGCGUCCCAUUAGCUAGUUGGUGAGGUAACGGCCCACCAAGGCGACGAUGGGUAACCGGCCUGAGAGGGUGAACGGUCACAUUGGAACUGAGACACGGUCCAAACUCCUACGGGAGGCAGCAGUGGGGAAUAUUGCACAAUGGAGGGAACUCUGAUGCAGCGACGCCGCGUGAGCGAUGAAGGAAUUCGUUUCGUAAAGCUCUGUUCUAUGGGAAGAAAAGGACUGUACCAUAGGAGAAAGCCCCGGCUAAAUACGUG
rnacentral:rRNA from 1 species